AGUACCGCCGUGUCCGCUCCAAGCCUCGGCAGCCGGAACAGGGCCGUCGUCGGGGAGCCUCAAAGCACCGUCCUCAGCUCAGCAUGAUGGACUUGGAGCUGCCGCCGCCGGGACUGCCGUCCCAGCAG
rnacentral:other from 8 species